GACGAACGCUGGCGGCGUGCUUAACACAUGCAAGUCGAACGAAGUGGCGAACGGGUGAGUAACGCGUAAUCAACCUGGCCUUCAGAGGGUGACAACAGUUGGAAACGACUGCUAAUACCGCAUACUGAAGGAGGGGAUUGCGGCUGAUUAGCUAGUUGGCGGGGUAACGGCCCAACAAGGCGCUGAUCAGUAGCCGGUGUGAGAGGUUGAAAGGCAACAUUGGGACUGAGAAACGGCCCAGAAUCCGACGGGAGGCAGCAGUGGGGAAUCUUCCGCAAUGGACGAAAGUCUGACGGAGCAACGCCGCGUGAGGUAUGACGGCCUUCGGGUUGUAAAGCUCUGUUAAUCGGGACGCGGUACCGGAAUAGAAAGCCACGGCUAACUACGUGCCAGCAGCCGCGUUAAUAC
rnacentral:rRNA from 1 species